rnacentral:rRNA from 1 species
CGGUAAUACGGAGGGUGCAAGCGUUAAUCGGAAUUACUGGGCGUAAAGCGUGCGUAGGUGGUUUGUUAAGUUAGAUGUGAAAGCCCUGGGCUCAACCUAGGAACUGCAUUUAAAACUGGCGAACUAGAGUAUAGGAGAGGAAAGUGGAAUUUCAGGUGUAGCGGUGAAAUGCGUAGAUAUCUGAAGGAACAUCAAUGGCGAAGGCAGCUUUCUGGACUAAUACUGACACUGAGGUACGAAAGCGUGGGUAGCAAACAGGAUUAGAUACCCUGGUAGUCCACGCCGUAAACGAUGACAACUAGCCGUUGGGAGGAUUUACCUCUUAGUGGCGAAGCUAACGCGUUAAGUUGUCCGCCUGGGGAGUACGGCCGCAAGGCUAAAACUCAAAGGAAUUGACGGGGACCCGCACAAGCGGUGGAGCAUGUGGUUUAAUUCGAUGCAACGCGAAGAACCUUACCUGGUCUUGACAUACACGGAACUUUCCAGAGAUGGAUUGGUGCCUUCGGGAACCGUGAUACAGGUGCUGCAUGGCUGUCGUCAGCUCGUGUCGUGAGAUGUUGGGUUAAGUCCCGUAACGAGCGCAACCCUCAUCCUUAUUUGCCAGCACAUCAUGGUGGGAACUAUAAGGAGACUGCCGGUGAUAAACCGGAGGAAGGCGGGGACGACGUCAAGUCAUCAUGGCCCUUACGACCAGGGCUACACACGUGCUACAAUGGGAAGGACAAAGGGUCGCAACCUCGCGAGAGCAAGCUAAUCUCAUAAACCUUUUCGUAGUCCGGAUCGGAGUCUGCAACUCGACUCCGUGAAGUCGGAAUCGCUAGUAAUCGUGGAUCAGAAUGCCACGGUGAAUACGUUCCCGGG